GUCAGUGCUUAGAGGAGCUGCUAAUGAGAAACAUUGAGGAGGAUUUGACCAUAUAACCCUGUGGAGGGAGGAGUCAGAUGGUUACUGCAAGGACCAAGAACACUCAGUGCUUAGAGGAGACGCCUGUGAGAAACAUCAAGGAUGAAGCUCUGGUGAGCCAACAACCAGUGUGUCUCCUUCUGCUCCCAGGAACUUUGUUGAGGUCAAGGAAGAUUUGUUUGUUAGAGUCACUAAAUAUGACCCAUGGCAUGACUCCCAAUAAGCAUUAAUGCCUGCAGUGAACACAAAGUGGGUUGCAGAGUUUAAGGUGUCCAACACCCCAAGGGUUUGGGUUGGGCUCUGGGAGAUGCUCCUCAGCUCUUGGUCUGCUCCCAGGAGUGCUGGUCACAGACAGAGAAUCAUUAAGGUUGGGAAGGACCUCCAAGAUCAUUGAGUCCAACCUUUCUUGUGUGGAAGAACCUUUGGGAAAAGGAAGAAUUUGAACUGGCUUCUCCAGGUGGAAGGUCCAAUGCAAACUCGUGGUAUCACCAAUUCCUCUGGUCAUUUCUCAGCUCCACUGUACAAUGGUAAUUUAAUUCCUGUGGUGUCCUAAGGACAAUGGAAAGCACUGUCAUUCCUGUGGAGAAAUUGAUAAACAAGAUUGUUAGGUUAUGUUUGAGCCCAUUUAGGAGUCUUUCUGCUCCACUAAAGGUCUCUCUGACUGGAGGUUCAAGGGUGAACAAAACCAUAGAAGUUUUACCUGGAUUUCCACCAUCUCAGCUUCACAGAGGAGUCCACUCAAAUUCACCCCCUCUUACUCCCUUGUCUGAUGGCUUGGGCCCUAUUGAGGCAGGAAGAGACCAUGAUUAGUGCUCCAAGCUGCUGCUGUGAUGUGAACACCCAGACCUGAUGGUGACAGCAGCAAUAAACGCAGCACCAGGCACAGGACAGCUCCUGGGGGUUCCUGGGAAGGCAGCAGAUGGCUGGAGGAGAUGGGAAUAUCCAAAUGCUGUCCUGGGAGGGCCUCCUUUGGAAAGUACCUUUCCCACCCUGCUUCCCAGCUGAUGAGCACAGGAGGAUUGAACAAAAUUAACUCAUUAAGGCUGGCAGUGUCCUGAGGGAUGUAAAACCAACAGCGGCACAAUUUCAUUUCCAUUCCACUGCUGUUUUCCCUGAGCACCGCAGGUGAUGGGGGUGUUUGGGGGCAGUUGUGUCACCUCCUCCAUGGUUUUCCUUUCAGCCAGGCAGUCUGUCUGUCUGCCACGGGAUUUUCUGUUGUGUGGCUGCAGCUCCCUGUGCAGGGGAGAUCAAACAUCCACUGGCUGGCGACUCAUUAGCUCUCCUCCAUGGGCAUUAGUGGUUAACAGCAUCAUUAGUUUCAGUGGUAAAAGGAGGUUUUGCAGGCCCCAGGAGAGUGAGGCUGUUAAUCUCCUGGCAUUUCACACAACAUCAAAAUGUAGCAAGAUCUGUGUUAGGAAAAAAGGGCAGAAAUACGGUUUGCUGUUAAGGAACUUACAAUUAAAACACUGACCUGAGGUGGCUUUGUUUUGUUUGUGAGUUGUGCUAAAGAACAGUGAUUUUAAUGUUGUGAAAUGCCUUGGAAUGUCAGGGAGCAGGCAGCAAAAUUUCUACCAGGAUGAUCCUGGGGUUCCUUCAGACUUGUGAAUAUCUGCAAUAUCCUCUGUCCAGGCUCAGCCCUGAGUCAUCUCCCUGCUGUGGGACAGAGGCAGAGUUUAUAAUGAGGAUAAAGAGGCAGCUUUUGCUUGGUGAGGAAACUUUGACCAUUUUCUGUAUCUUGGGUCUCAAGGGCUGCAGCAGGAGCAGGCAGAGGAACACCUGAAGUCCAUGCCCACAUCAUUGGAAGCUUUCCAAACACUGUCUGGCAUUUCACUGUGACCCAGAGCCCUUCUGGUGCUGCUCAGCAGCUGAAGCCAAGCAUCAGACGAACACUCCAAGGAAAGUGGUUUUUUUUGUUGGUGGAGCUGCAGACUUUUCCAGAUUCGUGAUGUGUUGGUAACCUCGCAAGGAACACGGCCUGCCUCGCUUUUCCAGACUGCAGGAGGUCACACACAGUUCAGACAAGCUUUGAGGAAACAGCUGAACUUCAGGAUGUUUGUGUGAACCCAACCCCUGACCUCCCCAGCUCACAUUUUACUGAUUCACAAGUACAGAUGGAAUAUUUACACGGACAUCUGUGUGUGUGUGCUGUGGAAAGACACCCAAAUUGUUACAGAAAAUGAACUUUCAGGGCUGUGAAUGCAUUGCUGUUGUGUCCCAACACUUGGCAGAAGGAGGAGAAGCACCUGGGAUCUGGAUGUGCCUCCAGAAACACAUUCCAUCCCUGAACAAAGUGGGAUUUGUUACUGGUAGGACUCGAAUACCUCAACCCCUCUGAGGAAAUGGUUUUCACACCCCAUUGGUUAUCUCAUGUCUGAGCACCCCUGUGAGCACCAGAGCAAUUUAGGCACUGUGUGGAACACUGUGCACAAUAUUCCUGAAAACACAUGGAAGACAGGCUCCUUGUUGGAGGAGGAAGG